GUGGGUAGUUUGACUGGGGCGGUCUCCUCCUAAAGAGUAACGGAGGAGCACGAAGGUUGGCUAAUCCUGGUCGGACAUCAGGAGGUUAGUGCAAUGGCAUAAGCCAGCUUGACUGCGAGCGUGACGGCGCGAGCAGGUGCGAAAGCAGGUCAUAGUGAUCCGGUGGUUCUGAAUGGAAGGGCCAUCGCUCAACGGAUAAAAGGUACUCCGGGGAUAACAGGCUGAUACCGCCCAAGAGUUCAUAUCGACGGCGGUGUUUGGCACCUCGAUGUCGGCUCAUCACAUCCUGGGGCUGAAGUAGGUCCCAAGGGUAUGGCUGUUCGCCAUUUAAAGUGGUACGCGAGCUGGGUUUAGAACGUCGUGAGACAGUUCGGUCCCUAUCUGCCGUGGGCGCUGGAGAACUGAGGGGGGCUGCUCCUAGUACGAGAGGACCGGAGUGGACGCAUCACUGGUGUUCGGGUUGUCAUGCCAAUGGCACUGCCCGGUAGCUAAAUGCGGAAGAGAUAAGUGCUGAAAGCAUCUAAGCACGAAACUUGCCCCGAGAUGAGUUCUCCCUGAGACUUAGAGUCUCCUGAAGGAACGUUGAAGACGACGACGUUGAUAGGCCGGGUGUGUAAGCGCAGCGAUGCGUUGAGCUAACCGGUACUAAUG
rnacentral:rRNA from 2 species